GACGAACGCUGGCGGCGUGCUUAACACAUGCAAGUCGAACGGUGAACCUCUUCGGAGGGGAUCAGUGUCGAACGGGUGAGUAACACGUUGGCAACUUGCCCACGGCUCUGGGAUAACUCCAAGAAAUCGGGGAUAAUACCGGAAGUUCACCGCUUCUCGUGUGGCGGGUGGUUGAAAGGUUUUGCGGCUUGGGAUGGGCCCGCGGCCUAUCAGCCUGUUGGUGGGGUAUGGUCGGACCAACACGACGUCGGGUAGCCGGCCUGGGAGGGUGACCGGCGACCCUAGGACUGAGAGACGGCGCAGACUGGAAUGGGAGGCAGCGGUGGAGAGUAUUGCGCAGUGGGCGGGCGCCAGUGACGGCGACGCCGCGUUGGGGAAAACGUGCUUCGAGUUGUAAACCUCUUUGUGCAGAGACGAGGCGAAAGUGACGGUACCUGCAGAAGAAGCACCGGCCAACUACGUG
rnacentral:rRNA from 1 species